UCGCUUCCCUUAUAUACCAACUACUAUGUGAGGCCCAUCAUGAACGCCGUGAGUGUGGAGAAGGCGGCUAAUGAUCUCCCAGAGCGCCUCUUUACCCAGACAGCACGGCAGGAUGAUUCAGCAGUGGCACGGCCGUGAUGCUGACAGCACUGUUGCCAAAAUGACUCAUCCUGAUGAUGAAGCCAAAGAAAGAAAAAGGAGAGAGAACCUCAUGAGCUCAAGACGGUUGCUGCCGAUUCUCCUCAGUGUCAGCCUUUUUCCAUGAAGUUUCCCAAAAAAGAACAAUGUGUCCAGUUCAUUAGGACACCUACACCACCCGAUGUCACAGGAAGGCCGUAAAGAUCAUCAAGGACAACAACCACCCGAGCCACUGCCUGUUCACCCCGCUAUCAUCCCGAAGGCGAGGUCAGUACAGGUGCAUCAAAGCAGGGACCGAGAGACUGAAAAACAGCUUCUAUCUCAAGGCCAUCAGACUGUUAAACAGCCACCACUAACAUUGAGUGGCUACUGCCAACACACUGACUCAACUCCAGCCACUUUAAUAAUGGGAAUUGAUGUCAAAUAUAUCACUAGCCACUUUAAACAAUGCUACUUAAUAUAAUGUUUACAUACCCUACAUUACUCAUCUCAUAUGUAUAUGUAUAUACUGUACUCUAUAUCAUCUACUGCAUCUUUAUGUAAUACAUGUAUCACUAGCCACUUUAAACUAUGCCACUUUUGUUUACAUACCCUACAUUACUCAUCUCAUAUGUAUAUACUGUACUCGAUACCAUCUACUGCAUCUUUAUGUAAUACAUGUAUCACUAGCCACUUUAAACUAUGCCACUUUGUUUACAUACCCUACAUUACUCAUCUCAUAUGUAUAUACUGUACUCGAUACCAUCUCCUGCAUCUUGCCUAUGCCGUUCUGUACCAUCACUCAUUCAUAUAUCCUUAUGUACAUAUUUGUUAUUCCAUUACACAUGUGUGUGUAUAAGGUAGUCGUUUUGGAAUUGUUAGGUUAGAUUACUCGUUGGUUAUUACUGCAUUGUCGGAACUAGAAGCACAAGCAUUUCGCUACACUCACAUUAACAUCUGCUAACCAUGUGUAUGUGACAAAUACAUUUGAUUUGAUUAUGUUACGUCAUUGACAGAGGCAGAGGGGGGAGGGACUGGAGGGCAUGAAGUUAGUUUACCCCUUUUGUAUGACGAUGCUACACGUUGGAAACAGACAGAUGGCUCCUGUUUUCCACACCCUGGAAACUGUUACUACUUUUGUAAUAGAAAAAACCCCAAACAGUUAUGUUAGUAGUAAAGGGGACUGGAUCCACCUGUUAAUAAGUAGGGAAAACUCUGUUGUAAGAGCCCAGUAGAUGGAUCCCCACCAGGGGGUGUGUGGGGAGGUAAGGCUGCUAAUGAUGGCUAUUAGACACCUUAUUAUGUGCUGCGUUGGAAACGUUCCUUCAUUUUCUGUGAUCCGACAAGAUUCGGUGUAUUCUGUUCACUGUGUGCCGACCACAGUUAUAAUGUUUUGUAAAACGACAAAGAAGCCUUUCAGAGAAAAACAAGGAUACAUGUAAAGCGCUUUUUGUAUGAUCAUUGUUUUUAUGUUUUUUUUAUGUGUUUUUAGAGGAGUUCAAACACACAACUCCGGGCCUGUUUGAACUAAAUAAAUUGCAUCCACAGAAGAAGAAAAAAAAUCACAACAUUUUUGUCAAUUUUGCUCCUAUGGUGUUGUAAUCAAACGGACACCUUUAUCAACCAAAUCACUGAUAAAGAUAUCUGUGUAACUGCCAAAGUAAUCUGUCCCAUUUCCACAGGUGUACGGUUGGAUAGAUUGAAUAGACUAAAUUAACACAUCAUGUCAAGUCUUAAAACCUUAGUUUGCCAUUGUACCUUUUUAAUUGUUACAGCAAGUGAGUUUUGUAUUUGUAUUGAAUUUAUUAUGGAUCCCCAGUAGUUCCUGCCAAGGCAGCAGCUACUCUUCCUGGGGUUUAUUAUGGAUCCCCAUUAGUUCCUGCCAAGGCAGCAGCUACUCUUCCUGGGGUUUAUUAUGGAUCCCCAUUAGUUCCUGCCAAGGCAGCAGCUACUCUUCCUGGGGUUUAUUAUGGAUCCCCAUUAGUUCCUGCCAAGGCAGCAGCUACUCUUCCUGGGGUUUAUUAUGGAUCCCCAUUAGUUCCUGCCAAGGCAGCAGCUACUCUUCCUGGGGUUUAUUAUGGAUCCCCAGUAGUUCCUGCCAAGGCACCAGCUACUCUUCCUGGGGUUUAUUAUGGAUCCCCAGUAGUUCCCGCCAAGGCACCAGCUACGCUUCCUGGGGUUUAUUAUGGAUCCCCAGUAGUUC